rnacentral:pre_miRNA from 1 species
AAUAAACCAAUUUUCCAUUUUUUACCUUUAAUUUUUGACUCUUCUUUUUAUUCAAUUUUUUUUACGAUUGAUAUUUUUUAUUUUAUUAGAUGAUAAAUCAUGAAUAGUACUUUACGUGUGACUAAUUUUUUUCUAAUUUUCUAAAAGUUUUUCAAAUAAGACGGAUGGUCAUUGGAUACGGAAACC